rnacentral:lncRNA from 1 species
AUAAGGAAAAAUAACAAAAAUUCAAAAUAAAAUAAUAUUACACCACAGAAGUUUAAUGGCCAAAGGCCCGAAUAAAAUAGAAUCUUAAUACCACAUGAAGCGCAAAUGUGUAGGGUGCUACACCAAGUUAUUUACUAUUCAUUAUGUCUUUAUUGAUUUUUUUUUUCUUUUGGGGAAAUGGUUGUGAAAUUAAUGAGAAGAUAUUUGAAAC